UCUCAUUUCUUCCAAGUUUGUGCAUUGUCAGAUCAAUGUUUCCUUUUCUUUUUCUUGCCACAUGAUCAGGUUUGUGCAGCAUUUGUUCAGCUAAUUGAAGUCCGUCCAUCUGUUCUAGAGCCAAAUAUGAAGAAUGUAAUUGAAUAUAUGUUGCAAGUAAAUAAGGACACUGAUGAUGAGGCGGCACUUGAAGCAUGUGAAUUUUGGUCUGCUUAUUGUGAUGCGCAGUUACCACCUGAGAUUUUGAGAGAAUAUUUUACCACGUCUAAU